AAUUAGGUAAAGACAAUGAAUAAUUAAACGUAUUAUAAAUUAAGCUAGGAGCGGGCUUCAGGCCAUUACGUCGCACCUUUAGAAUGAAACUAAUUUGACUCAAAAAGUACGACUACUUUAUAUAUGUAGUUUGGUAGAACAGUAAGAACUCACUAUAUGUGUCUCUUUUUCAUGCGGUGAAAUCCCCCCACCCGGAAAGGGUAGCGACGCCCAUUUUAUCGACUCUCGAGUCGACUCCAAUCUGAUACUAAUAGUAAAAACCAUACGGCAAUAAUGAGGAUGCAUCGACAUAAGAAGAAUCGAACAUGGGCAAGAUAAAGUUCAAGAAAUAAGCAAAUAUAAUGUGUACUUGUGUGUAGUCAAAGAAAGUUGAAAAAUAAAGCAUAAUUAAUGGCCAUAGAAUACAGAACCGAUACACGAACAUUAAGACUAUUAAAAAUAGACAUAGAGGUUGAUCGUACUACUCGUACUAAUGUAUUUCUUUUGUUCAAUUAUAUUGCAUUAAAGUUAGAUUCUCUAGGUAUAUAUUGUUCAUAGGUUCUGUAUUCUAUAUGAAUUGUUUUAGUGUAAUUAUUGUACUAAAUACCGUUGACCGCCUGUCAACAGUAUUUAUUUCUACAUUACUAUCACAGAAGAUUUUAGGCCCUACAGUAGUUUUUGAAUUAGUAUUUACUAUGGACAAAUAUAGCGAAAUGUGAGUUUUUACCUAAAAUAUCAAUCUUUUGUGAACGUGGUGUAGAGUAUAUACCGCCUAAGACUGAAGUAGCUACGCGGGCAACGUUUUCAGAAUAGAAUCGUGUUCAUGGUCGGCCCAUGGUAAAAAUAAUUAGGUACCCGUAGACCCACUGGUGAACACUGUUUAUGAUAACACUUAAAAUAAACCCCGUGGACCCACCAAGAGAACAUAUUGGAGAGACUAGAGAUAAUACACCGCUUUAAGGGCGGUCGCACACGGCAUUGACAUCUGGCGUCUAGAUGGCGGGUGUACCUCAGCGAAUUUCAAAGAAAUAUUUAUAAACAUCCAAUGACGUUCGGCUCGGACACCAGAUCUUCAAUCUCCUGAUUCCUGUGGAGUCUCCAGGUUCCAUCCUCUCCACGUGUGGGUCCUAGGAUUUUUCGCGCUGCCAGACUCCGAUGACUCGGGCACAUAGUCCAGAUGGGUGAGGAUCGUGCAGCCUGGAGGGCGUGCUCUGAAGUUCCAAAUGGCCGAAGACCGUCUAGACGUCCUAGGUAGGUCCCGCUGGAGAGACGAAAUGCAAAAAGACCUUAGCGAACUCGGCGCCGUCGACUAGAUGGAAACGGUUUUGGACAGAGAAGCAUGGCGGUCUUUGGUGUAGGAGGCCAAGAUCCACUUCUGGUCGCUGCGCCACAGCAGUAAGUAAGUAUUUAUAAACAUAUUGUACCUUCUGUGUACCUAACCCAAAACGAGAUAUUUAAGAAAAAGUCCACCCGCCAUUCUGACGUCAGGGUUGCGGUUGGACAGUCAGCGUCAAAUACUUUGUAGCAGUCAAAGUGGCCAAAUAGUUCGGUACACCAUACUAAAUAUAUGGUGUACCGAACUAUUUGGCUACUUUGGUUGCUACAAAGUAUUUGACGCUGACUGGACCUAUGAAAUCUUGCAUUAUACUGCACUAAAAGUAUGCAGUUAUAUGGUACAGUCGCCAUCAGAUAUAUCGGAGUGGCCGACGUGCUCAAAGAUAUCUAAACACGCACUCUAACCCCUGGACAGUAGAGGCAUGUUCAGAUAUUCGUGGGUACCUUGGCCGCUCCGAUAUAUAUGAUGGUGACUGUACCUUCAGUGUACCUCUGUAAAUAGAAAUAGAAACCGGUGUACCUCUCCCCAAAACAAGCUAGGCUAAGCUCAUGCACAAUAUAACUGCAUACUUUUAGUGCGGUAUAAUGCAAGAUUUCGUAGGUCCACCCGCCAUCCUGACGUCAGGUUGGCGGGUGAACCGUUUUGUAAAAUAUCUCGUUUUGGGGAAAGGUACACUGGUUUCUAUUAAAGGUACACUGAGGUACACAGAAGGUACAAUAUGUUUAUAAAUAUUUCUUUGAAAUUCGCCGAGGUCCACCGCCAUCCUGACGCUUACCAUAUAUCUAAGGACCGACCUUAGGGGCAAUAACGAUAGUGCUAGUUCAGUUGUGUCAUUCACAAAUUCGAGUCAAUCGUGCUGUCUAACGCAACUAGAUGCGAUCAAUCGCGUGCGUAAUGCGAACUCAUCAACCAAUCACGUUGUGGUACUUGUGGCGUUAGACUGCACGAUUGGCUCAAACUCGUGUGCGUAACACCGCUGUACUGGCCCCAUUCUUAUUGCCCGUAAGGCCCGUCCUCAGAUAUAUUAUGUCAAUGACACAGUCGCGAUUUUAAAAAAUCCACAUCGCUUCUGCUACCAAAUUGUUGAGCAUAACGUUUUCCUAUCCAUAGGUUCCAUCUGUCCAGUAGGAUCCACCAUCUCGAUCCACCAGAUUGAAGAGAUUGUUACUUAACUGAUGGAUCGAGAUGAUGAAACCUACUGAAUAGAGCGGGUCGAUUGGCUGAAUUGGAUAUAACAAAGUACACUUAUAUGAAACGCUGUUCCGGUGUGCGAGUGAGACAGUCAGGCCAAUUUGAACUUGCAUUUGACAGAAACUGAUUGUUUCCAUCGAACGGUACCAGUUCCAUUGCCGGCCUCUUCGCUGCCUUCUAUAGUGGUUCAAUCUUACCUUGCUUAUGAAUAAAAAGGGGCGUGCACACCGAUAUUAGAGUAAUAUUGGAAUCAUAUCAGUUAGUUGCGGGCGUCUCGCUCGCACAAAUACAUGCGUAUAAGUGCGAAAUGAACGCACGAAUGACAGCUAACUGGUAUCAUUCCAAUAUUAUUCUAAAAUUGGUUUAAUGUCAGUUGCACUUUCGAAUUGGCCUACAUAGCGAUUUCCUUAGCCUGAACACCGGAUCGGCGUGUGGGCCGGCAUCUACCUAAUGUAAAGCCACCUCAUUAGGUGCUUUUAGCCUUUUGAACGGCAAGAACACCUAAAGAUGUGGUGAGAGAAAGCCGCGCGUCCCUCAUGCACUGCACUAGCUUUACAGCUUGCAUUGCGACCAAUGUAUGCCGCUCACCGCCCCGCCGGUCGUGUUGGUCCAAUUCGCGGCCCUAGAAGACGUACUUUACAUAUAAACAAGAGCACGCGAGCAUUUUGCGAGUUGUGUAUGUGUACUUGUGUUAUCUAGGCGCACAAACGGUUACAAUAACAAGAAGUGUACAACGCGUGUGCAGUCCAACACGGGAGUACGGGUGCAAUUCGAAAAUAACGCGCUAGCGACGCAUUACGACAUUGAUACUUUACCCUUUGAACGCCACAAACAAAAACGUUACUCACACGCCAAGGUCACGGGCGCAAGUGAGCUUGAAAGUGCAUGAGUAUUACAUUAGGGACUUUGACAGCGAUUAUAACAGCUAUAAUCAUUAAUGUGUUCAUGGCCCUUAAAUCAUGUCUAGUGACGGCGCCUUUAGGUGACUGACGUUCAAAAGGUUAAGGGCGUUUGCUAGCUGGCGCUAGUGCACGGAGCGGGCAAACACGCGCAGGUACCUUUGUAAGUAAAAUCAGUCGCACGCGUCCGCGCCAGUUAGCGUUGCUGAUACUGUAAGCCGCACGCCCGCUCCAUGCACACGCGCGACGUUGCGGACGCCCUAUGCCCUAAACCUUACUUGAAAGUGUGAAGGUUACUCUGACAGCGGCUAUAUCAGCUAUAAUGUAUUUAUGACGCUUUGAGCAUAGCUAGUUAAGACGCCUUAAGGUAUUCUUGGCGUUCAAAAGGUUAAGGGCGUUUGCUAGCUGGCGCGAGUGCACGGAGCGGGUGCACGCGCGCGGGUGCCUUUGUAGGUAAAAUUCGUUGCACGCGUCCGCGCCAGUUAGCGUCGCCAGUUACUGUUUUUCGUUAACCCGCUCCAGCUAGCAAACUAAUCGCAAAUGGUCCGAGAUUGGCGCAAUAACCAUGCAUUACCUUAUCUGGAUCUGGAUGCAACUAUUCACCAAUGCUUGCUUUAAAGUAACUUGUCGACUCGUCCUGAUAAUAUUUGUGCGACCGUGAAGAAAAUCUAUGCCGUCACUUAUUUUUCAAUUUAUAUGAAAUAAAGAUGUUAAAUGUAUUCAAAAGUUUUUAUUUAAUAAGGUAUGUAUAAGUGCUCUGUGCAUCCGCACCAGCUAGCGGUGCCCUUAGCAAACCAAUCGCAAAUGGUCCGAGAUUGGCGCAAUAACCAUGCAUUCUCUUAUCUGGAUCUGGAUGCACCUAUUCACUAGAAAAUGUAUGCCGUCAGUUAUUUUUCAAUUUAUAUGAAAUAAAGGUGUUAAAUGUA